rnacentral:sRNA from 1 species
AAUGCUCCGUAUUGGGGAGGGAUGAGAAGCUUCGACCAAGAUUCGAGUCUCACGCAGUGAGACAACGCGCUUCAGCGCGGCCCGCAGGGUGAGGCGCGCAGCGACGAAUCAUCCUUCCCCCACCACCA